UGUGCACUUGUGCCAUAGGCCCUUAAGC
rnacentral:piRNA from 1 species